rnacentral:lncRNA from 1 species
GCGCAGCGAGCUUGUAGAAAAACCGAAAGAAGCACCGCGCCUGCGCUCGGGAGCCGUGAAGCCACGAGCCGAAGCCUCGCGUUGGAGGAGUCGGAGCCCCGGUCGUCGCCUCGUCCGGACCCCCGUGCAACUGCCCCAAAUCCCCAUCUCGUCAUGGUCGUCGUCGCCACCAAAUCUGCUGCCACCGCCAUGGUCGUCGUCGCUGCCAGAUCAACGCAGCCGCCAUGGUCGUCGUCGUGGUCGUCGUCGUCGCCAGAUCCGGCGCCACCGGUGCUCCCUGCCACCGAGCUCGCCCCGGAGAGGGGAGGGGAGCAGUCGGCGAGCUCCCCGCCGCCAGAUCCGGCGCCACCGCUACUCCCCGCCGCCGAGCUCGUGCCGGAGAGAGGAGGGGAGCAGCCGGCGAGCUCGCGCUCGAGAGGGGAGGGGAGCAGCCGGCGAGCCCGCGCCGGAGGGGAGGGGAGCAGCCGGCGAGCUCCUCGCCGCCAGAUCCGCCUCCACUGCUGCUCCUCGCCGCCGCCAGACCCGUCGCCACCGCUGCUCCCCGCCUGCGCCCCACUGCAACGCGCGGCCAUGCAGGCGCUGCUCGCGUCGAGCACCAACCACCAAGCAGCAGAAAAGCUUGAGAAGCUCGUCGAGAAAGGGAAAGGGACCCCUCUGUUCCACCACCCGCCGGCCGCCUCGCCAGUUUUUGCCAAAGAGGAACCCAGGACUAGGUGUCAUUGCUUCGACAGCCUGAGCUUCCCCCGCCGACGAGUUGCCGCCUCAAUCCAACCUAGAAUCUCCCCGCAAAGAAGGGGAGGAGCUCCAGGAAGGGCGAUGGUGCCGACCGGCAACGAGGAAGACAACCCACCGCCGCCAGCUCCCUUAGCACUACCAUCUCGCCGCCGGUGGCGGUGCCGCUCCAGACCGGCGCCACCCACUGGCCCCGUUAUCCGGCCGCGCGCCUCACCUAGCCACCGCGGUGGCAUCUCGGCUGCCCGGCCACCACGCCGAGCCGUCACCUAG